UUAGACAGCUGGCGGCAGGCCUAACACAUGCAAGUCGAGCGGCAGCGGGAAAGUAGCUUGCUACUUUUGCCGGCGAGCGGCGGACGGGUGAGUAAUGCCUGGGGAUCUGCCCAGUCGAGGGGGAUAACAGUUGGAAACGACUGCUAAUACCGCAUACGCCCUACGGGGGAAAGGAGGGGACCUUCGGGCCUUUCGCGAUUGGAUGAACCCAGGUGGGAUUAGCUAGUUGGUGGGGUAAUGGCUCACCAAGGCGACGAUCCCUAGCUGGUCUGAGAGGAUGAUCAGCCACACUGGAACUGAGGCACGGUCCAGACUCCUACGGGAGGCAGCAGUGGGGAAUAUUGCACAAUGGGGGAAACCCUGAUGCAGCCAUGCCGCGUGUGUGAAGAAGGCCUUCGGGUUGUAAAGCACUUUCAGCGAGGAGGAAAGGUGGUUGGCUAAUACCCAAUCGCUGUGACGUUACUCGCAGAAGAAGCACCGGCUAACUCCGUGCCAGCAGCCGCGGUAAUACGGAGGGUGCAAGCGUUAAUCGGAAUUACUGGGCGUAAAGCGCACGCAGGCGGUUGGAUAAGUUAGAUGUGAAAGCCCCGGGCUCAACCUGGGAAUUGCAUUUAAAACUGUCCAGCUAGAGUCUUGUAGAGGGGGGUAGAAUUCCAGGUGUAGCGGUGAAAUGCGUAGAGAUCUGGAGGAAUACCGGUGGCGAAGGCGGCCCCCU
rnacentral:rRNA from 1 species